UCUGCUUGCACAUGUUGAACGUGUUCCAAUAAUCUCAAUGUAAUUAAUGUAAUUCCAUUGUGCAACCUGAAAAAGGCUGUUUGCUUUUCCUUUAUCGCCGUGACCAAGAACUCUGCUGCAAUUGCCAGCUCCCAGCUAAAGGUGAAGCCACAGGCUGUGAAAUAUAUUGGAUAUCCUGUGCGGGCGGUUAUGCCGCUGCCAUGCGAUUUAAGCAAAGUUCUUUUGGAAAACUGUAAUAUUUGGUAGCUGCUAUAAUAAGGACUCUGCGUUUCAUGGCGCUCCGCGACUGGAGUCCUGCCUACUUCACUUCUAAGUGCAGAUCGAUGAAGAUGAUCUUUGCGAUCGGAUAGUACAAGGUCCUUUGAAAAACUCCAAGGGUAUACCUUUUAUUAUUUUGGUGCCUCUAGAUAAGGAGCAUCACCGUUCGGUUCCCUAUCAUAUCUUUUGCGCUUGGGUGGCAAUUCAAUAGUGCACAUUACAAACACAUUUGUUGACACAAGUCGCAAUUCUUGCGCGGAUUACGUGAAAGAGAGGGAAAGCUAUCUUUGGCGUUGACUGCGAUGACGUCAUAGUAGGCUGUUCGCUGUGAUACAAGGCGAUUUUAGUUCUUCAACUUUUCCGUUUUGGUGUAUGUCGAGCGUGACGGAUGGAAGGUUUUUGCACUAUUUAGACGCAGGUAGAUGAGGCCACGGGCCUGGAACUACGUUAAAUAUCUCAUGCUGACGACACUGCCGCUGCCACGCCCUACAAAUUUGAUUGAAGGAUUCAAGGACUCUAUUCGAUUCUAAGGACUUUUACGAAUCUAACGAGGCUCAUCCUUCCAGUAUCAGACGUUUAUUAAGCCAGAUAUUGCCAUUUUAAGUUAAAAUUUAAAAUACAUGUAAAAAACAACAAA